AGGAGGUUCCUCCUGUCGUUGAGAUGAAGGGGUGAGGAGGUGAAGGGGUGAGGAGGUUCCUCCUGUAGUGGAGGUGAAGGGGUGAGGAGGUUCCUCCUGUAGUGGAGGUGAAGGGGUGAGGAGGUUCCUCCU